rnacentral:rRNA from 1 species
UACGAGGGGGGCAAAUGUUGUUCGGAAUCACUGGGCGUAAAGGGAGCGUAGGCGGGCUUUUAAGUUGGAUGUUUAACCCCGGGGCCCAACCCCGGAUCGGCAUCCAAAACUGGAAGUCUUGAAUAGUGGAGAGGACGGCGGAAUUGGGGGUGUAGCGGUGGAAUGCGUAGAGAUCCCCAAGAACACCAGUUGCGAAGGCGGCCGUCUGGACACAUAUUGACGCUGAGGCUCGAAAGCAUGGGGAGCAAACAGGAUUAGAUACCCUGGUAGU